CACGUACUCCCUUCGUCCAGAAAUACUUGUUAUCAAAAUGGAUGAAAAUGGAUAUAUCUACAACUAAAAUACAUCUAGAUACAUCUAUUUUAAUAACAAGUAUUUCCGGAUGGAGGGAGUACGUA
rnacentral:pre_miRNA from 1 species